rnacentral:rRNA from 1 species
CACGUAGGGGGCAAGCGUUGUCCGGAUUUAUUGGGCGUAAAGAGCUCGUAGGCGGCUUAGUAAGUCGGGUGUGAAACCUCCAGGCUCAACCUGGAGACGCCGCCCGAUACUGCUGUGGCUAGAGUCCGGUAGGGGAGCGUGGAAUUCCUGGUGUAGCGGUGAAAUGCGCAGAUAUCAGGAGGAACACCAGCGGCGAAGGCGGCGCUCUGGGCCGGUACUGACGCUGAGGAGCGAAAGCGUGGGGAGCAAACAGG